ACAGCCCAGGUGAGAAAGCAAAGGUCCACAGAAGGAGAUGGCGUGCCCUGCCAAAUUCAGUUUUCCUCUGCUACAAGCCACAAUUCUAUAUACAAACCUCGGUAAAAGAAGAAAAGCAAUACUUCUCCUGCCUACUGCACAGACUUAUACUGAGUGAAGAGGUGAAUUUGCAGGAUGAAGCUAGAAAGGAGCAAGCCACAGAUCUCUCCCAUACUCAAGGAAAAGGGAUUACACAACGGUGUGAACAUCACGAAACUGAGGGUCACUCUAAGUUCUGUCUACUACUGGCACCAAAGUCAAACUUGACCUAUGUCACAAUUUUGCCUGGACCAUGCAUCUUGCAGGAAGCUCGUUACUG
rnacentral:lncRNA from 1 species